UCCCCCCAGCCUGCUUCCCCAGCGGGAUCCCUCUUAUUAACCUCGCCGAUUGUACCUUUGAAAGGCUUUCUCCCUUCAGCUUUCUCUUUCCAUGAAAGGGCUGGUGGAGAAGAAGGGAAGGGGGCCCUGUUGAUGAAGCUUCAUGCUGAGAAUAACAAAGGUCACAGCCUAUCCAGAGUUUGGCAGGUGCCAGAAAAUCCAUCUCCUGGGGAGGUUUUAGGCUCAGGCGAGAAGGUAGGAGUUGAGGACAAAUUAGUGAGCGCAUACUGCUGACUCUCUGCAGAGAAGAAGACAUGUGUCCAGGUGUAGGACGGCGCAGAGACAUGAAAGGGGAGUUCACCGGCUGCACUGAAAAAGCUCAGUACUAUUAUGUAAACAGUACAUAGCUGUCACACGGCAUACACCGACCACCUGUGCUCCGAUCGAUGAAACAUACAGAAAAAUGAGAGCCCCUUUGCUUCUGGUUUCUAGCCUAAGCCAAAAUGAUGUCAUACAUCCCAGGAGUCUUCAUUUUUUUUUCAUCUGGAAGAGGGGGUUAUUUCAGCUAAGCAAAGCACGCCCUUCUGCUUGCAUGCAUGAGCUUGAGGCAGAUGGAUUCCAGGAAAUAAAUGCUACAUGAAUCAUCUCCCAUACACGGGAUGGCUGCAGCUAGAAAUGCUGGGGGGUCCAAAUGAUUUCUGAACAAAAUAAAGCAUGGAGACAUAGGAGGAUGGCCAAGUUUGCUUUAAAUUAUUAAAAUGUAUUAAAU